rnacentral:rRNA from 1 species
GGGCCCGCACAAGCGGUGGAGCAUGUGGUUUAAUUCGAUGAUACGCGAGGAACCUUACCAGGGCUUAAAUGUAAGUUGCAUAGAUCAGAGAUGGUCUUUUCUUCGGACUACUUACAAGGUGCUGCAUGGUUGUCGUCAGCUCGUGCCGUGAGGUGUCAGGUUAAGUCCUAUAACGAGCGCAACCCCUGUCGUUAGUUGCCAGCAAGUUAAGUUGGGCACUCUAGCGAGACUGCCAGUGCAAACUGUGAGGAAGGUGGGGAUGACGUCAAAUCAUCACGGCCCUUACGUCCUGGGCUACACACGUGCUACAAUGGCCGGUACAGAGAGCAGCCACUACGCGAGUAGGAGCGAA